rnacentral:lncRNA from 1 species
GGUUUUGGCAAGAGGUACGAUGAAGAUAAAGCAACAAGUGGAAGAAGUAGAUUCCAUGCCAUGCUUAAUGAAACUCAAGCCUUGUUUGUAAGCUUUUUUGUUACAGAUUAUUUUCCUUUCAUGGGCUGGAUUGAUAAGCUCACAGGAAUGAUGCAACGCCUGCAAAAUAACUUCCAAGAAUUCGAUAGAUUCUACCAGGAACUCAUCAACGAGCAUUUGGAUCCAAACAGAACAAAAUCAGAAUUGGCGCAACAGGAGGAUAUAAUUGAUGUUUUACUUCAAAUAAGAAAAGAUCGUGGAUUUAAAGUUGACUUGACUUUGGACCACAUCAAAGCAGUGCUCAUGGUGAAUAAUUUUAUAAAUAGUUAUAUGUAGACUCGUGCUCAGGCGCAGACUUAAAAUUUUGUGCAGAUACCCAAUUUUACAGUCUUGUAAAAUGGUUUAUAAUGCUGUAAAGUGCCUUUGAUGUCCACCUGAGCAUGAUUAAUUUAAUGUAAUUUUAUUUGCUUUUAACUAAUUUACUAUGUAUAUAUGUAUGUUGUUUGCUUUGCAGAACGUACUCGUUGCUGGAACAGACACGAGUGCAGCAACUGUGGUUUGGGCCAUGACUUACCUAAUGAAGAAUCCUAGAGCAAUGAAAAAAGUUCAACAGGAAAUCAGAUUGUUGAUUGGGGCUAACAAAGGCUUUGUAAAUGAAGAUGAUGUUCAAGAACUACAUUAUCUUAAAGCGGUAGUGAAGGAGACAAUGAGAUUGCAACCCACAGUGCCAUUACUAGUCCCAAGAGAAACAAUUGAAAAGUGCGUAAUAGAUGGGUAUGAAAUACCAGCUAAAACACUUGUCUUUGUAAAUGCAUGGGCGAUAGGAAGAGACCCUGAAGCUUGGGAGAAUCCGGAGGAAUUUUAUCCGGAGAGAUUCGUUGAUAGCAUUAUUGACUUUAAAGGGCAACACUUUGAGUUAAUACCGUUUGGUGCUGGCAGAAGAAUUUGUCCUGGGUUGAAUAUGGGAAUCGCAACUGUGGAUCUCGCACUUGCUAAUCUUCUUUACAAAUUUGAUUGGGAAAUGCCACCUGGAAUGAAGAGCCAAGACUUGGACUUUGAUGUUCUGCCGGGAAUUACUAUGCAUAAGAAGAAUGCUCUCUCUCUUUUGGCUAAGUAUCAUGAGUGGGUAAAUUAAGGCACCUCGGACAAUAAGAGUUUGAUCUAAACUAAAUAUAUGUUAUAGAGAUUGCAUGUAUGUCCUCAAUUGUGCUUCUCAUGUUUCCUUUCUUUCCUCUUAUGUAUUAUGAAUGUUGAUGUCUAAGUGCCCAUAGGCUGAGUGGUUUUUAAUAAUUAAAUUUCUUUUAGUUCAAAAUUUUGGGAGGUAAGGACUAGAGAAUAAUGGUUACUCUGCUCACUCUCCUAUACUAAAAAAAAAAGGUUGAUAUGAAUGUGAAUAUUAAUCUACUACGUUCAUUUCAUCUCAUAUUUUUUCUCCUAUAUUUUUUUCUUUAAAUUUAACUUCUAUCACUUAACGUGCUAUCUUUUUAUAUGAUUGGAUAGAGAUUGAAAUUUUUGCUGUUCCACCUCGAUGUUAAUGCUAAUAUUAUCUUCACACCUUUACUGUAAUUUUCUACUUCUACUAUUAGAUGCUGAAGGGUUUUUUCUUGGAGAUUGCUUUACAAAAAAAAUUCUGAAAGAAGAUUUUGUCGAUCGGAUAGCAAGCUUAUCCAUAUAGUUUAAUGGAUUAUCUGCAAGAGCUCUUUUUAGUGCGCAUACAGUUGUCCCUUCAUGUUAGCAUAUUCAUUCUGUCGUCAAUGAACUUUUGCAUUUAAAUGGUAUCAGUUCAAGUGAUGAGUGAAUUUUACCUAUUGCGUAUCUUGGACUAAAUUUAAUUUUAAAAAAAUGAGUUUCCAGCUUAUGACUUAUACGUAUCUUGCACUUUGGUUUUACGAUCACCAUUGGAUGGAAGAGUGGCUUGAGUUUGUUAAUUGCUUCAGUCCCAGGACUAGUGUUUGGAAACAUAAACUUUAUCAGUUCAGCAACUAUAAAUCUGUUUCAUGAUUGUUAUUGCACACUAUUUCCUAUAUCCUUGUCUCCAUGCUCAUACUGAAUUAGUGGUGCAUUUGUCAUCUUUCGCCUUUCAUUAAAAUGUGCUAAUUAUUUUUUAUUUCAAUCGUAGGAUGGGAAGAUUGAUACUGAUUCCAUCUACAAUGGGUUUAAAGACAACGUGAGGUUAAUGUGGGAGCGUUUCUUGUCAUCCCAGCAAAUGUUGACAUAAACAACAGACUGCAAGCUUCCCCUACUCUCUGUUCAUAUUUGCAUUUGUGUGCAUCUUGUACUUGUUGUUGCAGAAAGAUGAAUAUGUAAGAAUAAGAUAGUGUUUGUAUGCAAUGGUCAAAUGUUUUUGCAAAAAAUGUCGUUGCUUGAGUUCCUCAAUUCUCAUUCUGAACUUCAAAUUUUGUACAUUUCUUUAACUUAAUUUUUUUUUCUGUGUAAUAGUAGUAUAAGUUUGGUAGUUUCUGUGUAAAGUGUUUUAUAUUUUCAUGUGUGGAAUAAAUAUCAAUGGCCAACAACAAUAAGAGUUUGAUUUUAUUUGUGAGACAUGUCUUUCAAAAUUAAGCUAGUGACAUACUUGGAUCACUUGGGAUCCACUUGCAAAUGUAUUUUGAAGAAAAGUUUUCUCCCCGCCUUUUAUGUAAUCACACCCACCAGUAAUAUGGUAAUUUAUUGAAAGGUCCUUGAUGCCCGGUAAAAGUUAUAAUUAAAUUAAUAAACUUAUCUUUUUAAAUUAAUAAACUCAUCUUUUUGAAUAUGUUCAUCAUUUUGUACGUAUAUUAGUUUUUUUUUUUUAAAUUCCUUUUAUUUCUAAACUAUUGGUUAGAAGCAAAUAUUUCACUGUAAUCUCCUGUCGACCAAAGGAGAUGCCUUUCCCAAAGCAAGAAAAGAAAACACAAAAAGCCCACUUCAAAAACUUGUGCAAGAAGGAGAUGUGAUUACGCUGUCUUUCUGUUUCUUGGUGCGUGUAUAGAUAUAUACAUACACACAUAAGUCUGAGGACCAGCUGAGCCAACAGCCCACUAGGAAGCAAUUUUAAAAUUUUUGGUCAGUAUUGUUCUUUAUAUCUUAUGAAUUUUUCCUUCAAUUAUUAUAUUUUCACUCAGUUUUGUUUUUGGGCACGCGUUAUGUGAUUUUCUUUUGAUGAUUUCCGUGGCUUCUUUUUAGCUCUUAUUUUACUGUUUCUACUGGUUAGUUUAGCUACUGUCUACUGAGAUAAAAUUAUUUGCUUGAAUAACUUAAUCUUUUGCUAUUUUAUUACGUUCAGUUUAUAUACAGUUGAUUCAUUGUAACAAAUGUUAUCAUAAAUGAUUCUUGAGUAAUUUCAUUUAUUUACUUUUUCUUCUUUCAUAGUUGGCCUGUACGGUAUCAUUUACUUUUAUCUUUUUUCAAAUUUCUUUUAAUCUACAGAAUGUUUGUUUUAGUCCUGAUCUUGGGUUACUGAAAUGUUUCAUUCCCUUUUCCUAAGUAUUUUUGUUGCUUGUUUAUCGGGCAAUACUGCAACAGUGAUUUUAAUUCACAAAAUUCUGUAAAUACUUAUUAUUCUUAGUGUGGUUUUAAGGUAGAGUGAAGUUAAUAUUAUCAUAAUGGCUUACAUUCCUCCACAUAUGAGGCAUACGAAGGACCCCCAGAGGCCAUCUCCAGUUCCAGAGAUGAUUGUGCCUAAAUUCAACAGAAAAUUAAACUUGGGAUCAUCCAAGCAUAAUGCAGACAUAAGUGGAAAGAUCGUGUAUGCAGAUCCUGCCAUACACAGGUGGUUCAUUUGUGGCUUGGAUAAUGAUAGCAGCAGUCCUUCUGUCCGCUUUGUGGAGUUUUCAGACGACCCUGUUGAGCAUAAAAAAUCGACGACCAUUAAUCUGGCUCGAGGUUACUGAUCUGCAUUUGUAAUUUUAUCUUAAAUAUGUUCUACUUUCUUUCUUUAUUUAUAUCUGGUGCUAACUUUAGUUAUAUUGACAUUUGGAUUUUGGGUUGGUAGAUAACGAUAAAUUGUGUGGGAAUACAUCAAGAAGCCCAUGGGAAUCGAUAGCAGAAAAUGUAUGGCCAGAUGUAUUGAGUGCUUGUAAUAUUGUCAAGAACGAAAUGGAGGAAAAGCCAACAAUGGUUGCUAGAUUUGGCCAUCAUCUUUUCCGUGAGUAUGUGAUCUGGUUCCAUUGCUGUAACAGCUUGAAUUUUUUAUUAGGUCAUUCCUUUUCUUUGGACUUUGAAAUUAAAGCAGCAAAAAUGCAUAUUCAUACUUAAUUCUGACAGAAAUCUUAUAGUCAUAUAAGUGGUGGCAGCUAAAAUUAUGAGCUUUACCAUUAACCCUACCACCAGCUGUGGAUGACUGUAAACCCUACCACCAGCUGUGGAUGACUGUAAAUCGGAUCUCUAAACCAGGGACAAAAGUUAAAAUUGCUUUUAAAAGCCAAAGAGGAAAAUGGCAAUUUAUAGUGCAUGCACUUCUUUCAGACUUGUAUCUCAUAGAAGCUUUCAUGGCAUCUGGAAUUUGGCUUUGGCUUUGCGUAGGACAUUUCAAUUGUUGCUGGUGGAAACAAAUAUAUCCAUUGUCUUAGUUUUGCUUGAUUUCCGGUGCAAGAAACAAAUAAAUUUGUUGCCGUGGCCAAGUUUUGUUGUUUGAUAUUUCAUUGGGACAACAAAGUAUACCACUGCUUCGCCUAUUUCUUACAUCUUUGCAUCAUAUAUUUCCAUUCUUCUAUCACAUCUUUGAAGCUUCUACUAGUUCUCAUAUUAGAAGCGCCUCAAAGAAAUAAUUAUUAUAUUAUUCGUCUUAAUGAAGGAGUGACAUACUGAGCUUAGAAAAUGCGAAAGAAGGUCAGGUUGCUGAAUCUGCUUUGAGCCCACUGAGGAGAUGCUUUUACACUGGUGUCCCUCCUACAUACAUGGGAAAAAUUGUAAAUGAAGUUGUGCCAAAAAUUGGGGUUGGUUUUGUAGAGAACAAGGAUAUAUACCAUGUCAAGGUAGUUCUCCUGCAGUCCUGCUAAAUACUUUAGUAGUCAUCACCAAGUUUCUUUUAUCUCUCACUUAAUUAGCCAUUGAUUCCCCCCCUUCUUUUUCUUGUGUAGUUGUCUGAUGGCACACGACAAAUUACGUGCAAAUGUACUGUUAAAGAAGAUCAAAAGCUUCAUCUCUAUAAGGCAAGUCUUUUGCUACUGGCUGAGUAUUAUUUAUGGACAACGGGUCCAAGUUUAUAAGUUGCCUCUUGUGUUAAGGAGACUUUUGCUAGUGGAAACAUUGAAACAAGACUUAUGAUGUUUUGAAUUGAAUGAUAUAAUCUUUUCACUGUGAAUUAUGAAGGAGAUGUCGAAUAUAAGCGAUAGAUAUCAAGAAAGAGACGAAACCUUUGUGUCUCAAAAGAACCUUUUAGAAGUCUCUCCAGGAAUAAUCUCAGUUAAGAGGAAAAGAAUUAAAAUGAAAAGAAGGAAGAAAAUUCUCAAGAAGUAAGACUAAUUCUACAUCUAAUUGAGGAACAGGCUUGUUAAUUUAACAAGGAAAGCUCCAGUAGCUAUUUAUUAUAAACCAAUUAAAAAUUGAAUUAAAUUAAUAGUUAACUUGUAAUUGAAUGUCUAAUCCAACAAACUAUGCAUAAGAUUACAGAUGUAACUAUGUAAUACAAAAAACCUCUGCUUAUUGUAGACCAAAGUGAAUAUGCCAAUAUUUAGGAAUUUCUUUCAGCAUCAUGGGAUUUAGAUCCCUAUAAUCUUUUUUUAUUUUAGUGUAGUGACGUCCGGAAGACCAGAAUUAUCACGUACCUCGUACUAGUCGUUUUAUUUAUUUUGUCUUUUAAAGCGCCACAUUAUUUCCCAUACAGUCAUAAUAUAUCUAUUUUUUGUUUAUUUAUCGUUGCCGUGUGUGGAGUCUCAUCUUGAAUAUGAACAUUUUUCCGGUAGGUCGAACUGAACUCUGUUCGUCACAUGGUAGCAGACAUGUUAUGCGUUCAUAAAAAUCUAGACCUGAGGUUGGCACUAUGUUCAAAGAGUACCUUAUCUGCUCUCUCGGUAAGUCAAUCUGCUCCUCCGUGCAUCUUUUAGCUGGACUUUUAAGUUACGCCUUCUUUUUUCCCCUUUUUAUUUUAUUUGGUCAUUUGCUUGUUGGAAUCAUCAUCAUUACAGAAUGAUGAAGAAAAAUUCAAGACCAGGGGAAAUAAGGAAAUAUUAAACUUAUAGCUUUUGUUUUAUCAUAGAAAGUUUACUUUCAAGGGCUUGAGAAAAAAUUUAUAUAUAUAUAUAUACACACACACAUACAUAUAUACACACACACAUACAUAUAUACACACACACACACACGACAAGCUUAAAACGGUUAAACAUUAGCAUGCAUGAUCCUUUUCUUCAAAACUGAAACUUUACAAAUGUUAAAAAUAGAAUAACAAAUAAAUUAUUAGAUUUCCAAAAUCAGUUACCGUUAUGCAGGCUUAAAACAAAAGUUAAAUAUAAGCUCUUUUUUUUUUUUUUGGGGGGGGGGGGCGUGUGUGCCUAUGAGUAGUCCCAGCAAAUGAAUUCUAUGAUCAAACUGAAAUUUUUGAAUUUUCAGGAUGAUGAAAUGAACAGCAUUAGAAUUCUGAUUAAUUCAGCCAUUCCGGAUCCGGAAGUCAAGGGUGGGUUAAGAUGGCCCAUGGGGAAGUCAUAUUCAGGGGAUUACACAAUUGUUGGGGUUUGGCACAAUGAAUUUAAAUCAUAUAAAAGCCCAUCACUAAAGCUUAAGGUAAGAAAUGUUGAUCGAUUUAUUUUCAAGACUGGAACUGGGGAAGCUACGAUUGAGAUUAAUCUAAAGUUGAGAAGACUAGUUUCAGAGAUUCAGGUACUUGCUGCUUUUUGCUUUAACUUUUAUCACAUAACCUACUAUCUUUGUGUAUGAUUACAUGGAUCUUGAAAUUCUUGCUGUUAUGUCAUAAUGUUAAUGCAUAUUUUGUCUUCACGCAUUUCUUACUGAACUUGUGUCUUGAGCUGUAAUUGUAAUUUCCAAUUUUUACUAUUAGAUGGGUAUUUUAUUGGAGAUUUCUUUACUUAAAAAAAAAAAAUGUUUGACAGAGAAUAUUUUAACGAUGAGAUUGCAAUAUUGUAAUAGAUAAUCUUCAGGAACUCUUUUUACCUUUUAGUAGUUAUGCAGUUGCUCCUCUGUGUUAGUUUAUUUAUUCUAUCAUAUGUAACGAAUGACUUUUUACCAAAUUUGAUUUCAAAGCUGAGCUUCCAGCUUAUGACUUAUAUUUGUGUCUUGCACUUUUGUUUUACAAUCACCAUUAGAUGGAAGAGUGCUUAGAGUUAGUUAAUUGAUUCAAUCCCAGGAUUAGUCUUUUGAAACAUAAAAUUUAUCGGCUAAGCUAUAUAAAUCUGUUUCAUGUUUCUUAUCGCACACUAUUUCGUAUGGCUUUGUCUCCAUGCUCAUACAAAAUUAGUGUUGUAUUAGAUGUCUUCUGUCUUUCAUUCACAUGUACUUAUUACUUUUUCUUUCAAUCGUCAGGAUGGGGAGAUUGAUACUGAUUCCAUCUACAAUGGGUUUAACGACAACUUGAGGUUAAUAUGGGACCAUUUCUUGUCAUGGGAGUCAUAACUUUUGACAAAAACAACAGAUUGCAUGCUCUCCCCGCUCGGUUCAUAUUUGCGUUUGUGUGCAUCCUGCAGUUGAAGAUGUAGAAUGAUGUAAAUGCAAGAAAAAGAGCAUGUUCGUAUCCAAUGGUAAAAUGUUUUUGCUAAAAUGUAUGGACUUGUAACAGUUUGUUGCGUGAGUUUCUCAAUCUCCUAAACCUCAAAUUUUGUCCUAUUUUCACCCCGGCUUUUUCCCCCCGUCCUCUGUAAUAGUUAUAUUUGGUAUAAGUUUGGCAGUUCCUGUGUAAAGUGUUUCAUAUUCAUGUGUGGAAUAAAUAUCAACAUCCAGAUACAAGAAAGUUUGAUUUUAUUUGUAAGACCUGUCUCUCAAAGUUAAUCUAGUGACAUGCUUGAAGCACUUGGGAUCCACUAGUUGGAUGUAUUUUUGUUAAGAUUUAUUUAGCAUUUUGUAUGUGUAUCAGUGCCUUUUUUUUUUGUUGUUAAACCGUUGGUUAGAGGGCAAAUAUUUCACAUUAAAGUGGGGUCUGCUUGCCACCAAGGGAGAUGCCUUUCCCAAAGCAAGAAACGAAAACUCAAAAGCCCACUUCAUAACUUGUGUAAGAAGGAGAUGUAAUUGACAUAUGCUGUCCUUUUUCUUGGUGCGUGUAUGUGUGUGUAUACACACUUAAUUCCGAAGAUCAACUGAGCCAACAGCCAAAACUUGAAAGCAAUUUUAAAAUUUUCGGUUAGUAUUGUACUUUAUAUCUUUUGAAUUUCUCUUUAAUUUAUUAUAUUUUCACUUUAGUUUUGUUUCUGGGUACUCUUUAUGUGCUUUUCUUCGAUGAUUUUGGUGAGCUCAUAUUUUACUGUUUCCACUGGUUAGUUUAGUUAUUGUCUACUAAGAUAAAAUUAUUUGCUUCAAUAACAUAGAGUAUUGAGGUGUUGUAAUUUAAAAUUUUAGAAAAAAAUAUAUUUAUAAAAUAAAAGUUAAUAGUAUGUGGUAAAUAUAAUUUUAAAAUAAUAAUUUUAAUAAAAUUAGUAAAGAUAUAAUAGAUUUUCAUCAUAUAAAAGUAAAAUCAAAUCAACUUAAUUUCUAAACUAUAUAAAUUAAUUUUUAUAAAACACUUUAGUGCUGUAACUACCCAACCUCAAUCUAAAGUAUAGCCUUAAUCGUUUGCUAUUUUAUUAUGUGAUUGUAUAUAGAGUUAAUUAAUUGUAUCAAAUGUCAUUAUAAAUGAUGCAUGAGCAAUUUCAUAUUGUUUUUCUUUCCUUCAUUGAUAAUUGGCUUGUCGGAUAUCUUUGAACUUUUUUUUUUCGCCUCAAAGUUCUUUUAGUCUGCAGAAUGUUGGUUUUAGUUUCGAUCUUGGUUACUGUAAUAUUUCAUUCAUUCUUUCUAAGCAUAGUGGGUUCAUUUCACAAAAUUCUGUAAUAAGUACUUAUUGUAGUUUAAGGUAGCGCGAAGUAAUAUUAUCGUAAUGUCUUACAUUCCACCACAUAAGCAGCAGUUUGUAAUCAAGACUGCAGAGAAUCUUGCAGAUAUGUUGACUAAGGUGGUGACGACAAUUAAGUUUGAGCAUUAUCUAAACUUGAUCAAUAUCUUACAAGUUUGAAAAUAGUCAGAGAAGACAGAGACUGGAGGAUGGUUUGUUGAUAGUCGGCUCAGAUUUACUAAAUUUUCGUUAAGGUAGAGAAUUGUUGAAAAAUCAAGCAUGCUUGCAUGAGCCAGCUAGCAUGCAAAUUUCAAGCCCACCAAUGUUCAGCUAGCGUGAUCCAAUUGCAUGUGCUAGCAUGAUCUCUUCAUCAAAAGUCACACCAAAGCCAUUAAAAUUGAAAAUGGCCAAAGUUUUUUUUUCAUGCAUUUAUAUUGUAAGAUUUGCCUAUAAAUAGAGGAGUAGAAUGCAUUUGUAAAGCAUCCCAAUUUGUGAGAAGUAGAGAGCAAUUGCAAGUGAGCUCUUUGAGAGAAUUUGAGAGAGCUUCCACUUGAGUGUUCUAGUGAGGUUCCAUUUAGGUGUAUUGGGGUUGUGGGUUUUGUGAGUUUUUUCCACUUUUGUAAAUUCUCAUUAUUAGUAAAAUUAUCUUCCAAUCUUUGCCCGUGGACGUAGGCAUUAUGCCGAACCACGUAAAUUAUUGUGUUUAUAUUUUCUUUGUAUUUGUUUGUCACAUUUAUAUUUCUCCAAAAGUUACAUUCAUCGUAAUAUUGGUAAUUGCUCAACCUCGCACUUCCGCAACAAUUGGUAUCAGAGCAGAAGGUUCGUGCUUGGGGCAUACAACAUUGUUCACGUAUACGGAACUGUUCACAAAUACGGUAUUGUUCACGUAUACGGUAUUGUUCAUUGAUAUGGUGGAGAUGGUCAUUUAUACUUGGGAGACAGUCUAUUGAAAGUAGUGUGUAUUUUUUCAUGUCUAGGAAAGUCCUGUCAACAAGGCGAUAAAAGCUUAAGGAGUCUGGUUUUAAGUGGGACCGUUGUGACCCCUCCAUUCUCCUAGGAACUUUCCUGGUGCAUUUAUUCAUGCGAAAUAAAUAUCAUAGAGGCUAUUUUUCAAGUGUAAAUAGUUGUUGAAGAAACUGAUCAUUUGAGAUAAAAAUGAUGGCAGAGGCAUCGUCGUCGUCUUCAUCAGCAAGGACUACUGUGACUAAUGCAAAGUUUGAAGUGGAGAAAUUCAAUGGUACCAAUAAUUUUGGCAUGUGGCAAUGUGAGGUGUUGGAUGUCUUAUGUCAGUAAGAGUUGGACGUUACUCUUGAAGAAAAGCCUGACAUAAUGGAUGACAAGGAGUGGAUAAAGAUCAAUAAACAGGUAUGUGGUACUAUUCGCCUAUGUUUGGCUAAAGAUCAUAAAUACUUUGUUAUAAAGGAGACAUCGGCAAAGAAAUUGUAGGAGACAUUGGAAGAAAAAUAUAUGAAGAAAAGUAUAUAAAGAAAAGCCUUAAAAAUAAGCUUUAUAUGAAGAAGAAACUCUAUCUAUUCACAUAUACACCUGGCAUGUCGAUGAAUGACCAUGUAAAUUCAUUCAACAAAAUAUUGGCAGAUUUACUAAAUUUGGAUGAGAAAUUUGAAGAUGAAGAUAAGACACUGUUGUUUUUUAAUUCCCUUCCUGAUGAAUAUGAUCAUCUCACCACUAAUUUGCUUCAUGGGAAGGGCAGUGUCACAUUCGAUGUUGUAUGCAGUGCAUUGUAUAACUCUAAGAUCAGAAAGAAAGAUAGAAAAGAUCACAGAGAUACAGUUGUAGAAGCAUUAACAACUAAAGGUCGUUCACAAGGCUGUAAACUUGGAAAAAGAAGCAAGUCUAAAGGGAGACCUGCCAAAGAUGAGUGUGUUUUUUGUCGCGAGAAAGGGCAUUGGAAAAAGAAUUAUCCUAAGUUACAAAAGGAUAAGGCUUCUUCUUAUGCAUGUGUAGCAGAGUAUGAUGAGGAGUCAGACUUUAGUCUGGUUGGCAUGACGUUGACAUGUUACUUAGAUGAGUGGUUUUUGUAUUCGAGUUGUGCUUAUCAUAUGUGUCCUAACAAGGGUUGGUUUUCUAACUUCAAGGAGCUGGACGGUGGAAUUGUUUUUAUGGGCAAUGACAAUGCCUGUAAAACCUUGGAAAUAGGUACAAUUCAAUUAAAUAAUCGUGACGGUUCAAUCAAAGUCUUGACGGAUGUUCACUACAUACCAAGUUUAAAGAAAAAUCUCAUCUCAUUAGGAGUCCUAGAAUCUAAAGGGCUCACAAUCACUCUGAGAGAUAGAUUAUUAAAGGUAGUAGCUGGCACACUAACGGUGAUGAAAGACACAAGAAGAAAUAACUUGUACUAUUUUCAAUGGAAUACAAUUAUUAGAUCAGCAUCAACAGUUUUUGGAAGAGAUGCAGAUUCAGAAGCAACCAAGUUGUGGCAUAUGCGUUGGGGACAUGCUGGUGAAAAAUCUUUACAGACUCUAGUGAAGCAAGGCUUAUUGAAAGGUGUAAAUUCUUACAAAUUAGAAUUUUGUGAACAUUGUGUUUUGGGCAAGCAGACAAUGGUAAUGUUUAGUUCAAUAAUUCACGAUACAAACUUCCUCGGGGGAGCAUUAAAACCUUCGAGCAGAUGUGCCAGGAAUUUACAGAGCAGUUUCGUGGGGCAAUGGCACCAGAAGAUGACAUGAUGGAAUUGAAAAACAUGAAGCAGGGGGAACAAGAAACACUUCGGGAAUUCAUCAAGAGGUUUCACCGUGCUGUCCUUGAUUUGGGAGCCUUCAACCAUCCUCAGGCAUUAAGGGGACUGAAAGAAGGGGUGAAGAUAGGAAGAUUGUGGUACAACUUGAGAAGCCCAGUUAUUCAGACGUACGCCGCCGCAUACGAGCAGGCUAAGAGGGACAUUGAGAUUGAAGUGGAAAAGGCAGCACGGAUCAAGACAGACCAGUUAGAUGGGUUGGGGAAGAAAGAGAAGAAAGCAUUGCCAGGGAACGGGCCGAUCAGGAGGAGAGACCUUCAGGCCUCAAGUAGUGGAGCAGGAGAUCGGGUAACUACUGGCCAUCCUCAUCAGAGGCCACCACAGUAUCGGCGCAGCAGGGCGCAACCUCCUCGUUCCCCAGCUAGGGAGCCUUGGAGAAGCCAUGACUCGGCAUAUGGUGGUCUUCAUCAACACUCCCACGGUAGUAGGGGGCAGACCAGAAGUGCUGCCACCGCCUCCAACUCAGAACGGAUCAAAUAGAGAAAGAGCAGUGCACCUGAUCAACCAGAACCAGGACUAUGGGCGGUACACUUCCUUGAAGAUGUUCCUGGACGAGGUGUACGAGGCCAUAAAGGAUCGAGGGUUGCUAUACCUCCCUGCCUCAAUAACAAAACUACCCAGCAGGAGGGAUAGGGGACGCUAUUGUAAGUUCCAUGGCGCGCAUGGCCAUACUACAACAGAAUGUAGAGAUCUCAAGACCCAGGUCGAAGAUUUAGUGAGAAAUCGAUACCUGGACGAGUUUAUAGAGGGGACUUUCCCGAUGGUGGCCUCGACAUGCGAGGGGGAGCAGAGUGGCAGAAAUUUGAGGCACGAGCAGCCUACAGUAAGGGUGAUUGCUGGGGGCCCGACAUUGGUUGAAGAUUCCAACAGAUCUAGGAAGAACUAUGCUAGAUACGCCAUGACUAGUAAAGAGGUAUUCUUCAACACCCCGGCAGCCAAACGAGCAAGAGUCAGGCAAGUGCCAAUCAUGUGGACAGACGAGGAUGAAAAAGGGAUUUUAUACCCACACGAGGAUGCCUUAGUCAUCAAGGCCACUGUUGCUAGCAGGAAGUUUGACCGGAUACUAGUCGAUACAGGAAGCUCGGUUGAUGUGUUGUUCAAGUCCACUCUGGAGGAGAUGGGAAUAGCAGACCUGAGGUUGGAGCACACCAACACCUCCUUGAAGGGAUUUGGAGGAGGAAAGCUGGUCCCCCUGGGUGUGGUCGAGCUGCCUAUCACAAUCGGAAGCUCCCCGACAGAAAGGACUAUGAUACUAGAUUUUGUGGUGGUUGAUGAAGAGGGUCCUUACCAGAUAAUCCUAGGUCGGCCGUUUCUGAGGAUGAGCAAAGCAGUACUGUCCAACCAUUAUCUUGCUCUCAAGUACCGGGUGAAUGGGGUAGUUGGAGUGGUACGAGGAGACCAGAGAAUCGCACGAAGCUGUUACUCCUCGACAGUAAGGGAAUCGAUGCAGAUAACAUCCCUUGAUACCCGAGCGGAAGCCAGGAAUGGCAGCUUAUUGGACCCGGAGUUUACAAGCUGGUUCGCACAGACGACCACGAGGUGAAACGCCCAUGGAACGCAGCACACCUCCGAAAAUACUUCCAGUAAGACUUGUUCACAUUUAAAAGCUAUUUCUGCUCGUGUUCAUUAUCGUUUAUCUUUUAUGUUUUAUAUCCAAACAAUUUCAUGUAAGUCGAAUCCUGCCAUUAAUGGAACGUCGAGGAAUUUCAUUCGCUUGAAACUGUGAAAAUUUCCUAAGGCAUGCAAAGGCUCGUCAAGUCUCAAAGCCUGUUUAUGGCGAGACCAGAAGCCAAGAGUGCCAGGAUCUGCUCGGCCACGAGAAGGCGAGCAGAAUCCCAAGCUUUGAAGAAAUUACCUAAGGCAUGCAAAGGCUCGACAAAGUCUCAAAGCCUGUUUAUGGCGAGACCAGAAGCCAAGCGUGCCAGGAUGUGCUCGGCCACGAGAAGGCGAGCAGAAUCCCAAGCGUUGAAGAAAUUACCUAAGGCAUGCAAAGGCUCGUCAAGUCUCAAAGCCUGUUUAUGGCGAGACCAGAAGCCAAGCGUGCCAGGAUCUGCUCGGCCACGAGAAGGCGAGCAGAAUCCCAAGCUUUGAAGAAAUUAUCUAAGGCAUGCAAAGGCUUGACAAAGUCUCAAAGCCUGUUUAUGGUGAGACCAGAAGCCAAGCGUGCCAGGAUCUGCUCGGCCACGAGAAGGCGAGCAGAAUCCCAAGCUUUGAAGAAAUUGCCUAAGGCAUGCAAAGGCUCAACAAAGUCUCAAAGCCUGUUUAUGGCGAGACCAGAAGCCAAACGUGCCAGGAUCUGCUCGGCCACGAGAAGGCGAGCCGAAUCCCAAGCUUUGAAGAAAUUGCCUAAGGCAUGCAAAGGCUCGACAAAGUCUCAAAGCCUGUUUAUGGCGAGACCAGAAGCCAAGUGUGCCAGGAUCUGCUCGGCCACGAGAAGACGAGCAGAAUCCCAAGCUUUGAAGAAAUUACCUAAGGCAUGCAAAGGCUCGACAAAGUCUCAAAGCCUGUUUAUGGCGAGACCAGAAGCCAAGCGUGCCAGGAUGUGCUCGGCCACGAGAAGGCGAGCCGAAUCCCAAGCUUUGAAGAAAUUACCUUAGGCAUGCAAAGGCUCGACCAAGUCUCAAAGCCUGUUUAUGGCGAGACCAGAAGCCAAGUGUGCCAGGAUCUGCUCGGCCACGAGAAGACGAGCAGAGUCCCAAGCUUUGAAGAAAUUACCUAAGGCAUGCAAAGGCUCGACAAAGUCUCAAAGCCUGUUUAUGGCGAGACCAGAAGCCAAGCGUGCCAGGAUGUGCUCGGCCACGAGAAGGCGAGCAGAAUCCCAAGCUUUGAAGAAAUUACCUUAGGCAUGCAAAUGCUCGACCAAGUCUCAAAGCCUGUUUAUGGCGAGACCAGAAGCCAAGCGUGCCAGGAUCUGCUCGACCACGAGAAGGAGAGAAGAAUCCCAAUCAUUGCAGAGAUUACCUAAGGCAUGCAAAGGCUCAUCAAGUCUCAAAGCCUGUUUUAUGGCAAGACAGAAGCCAAGCGUGCCAGGAUCUGCUCAACCACGAGAAGGCGAGCAGAAUCCCAAUCCUUGAAGAAUUGAAGGCAUGCAAAGGCUCGUCAAGUCUCAAAACCUGUUUAUGGCGAGACCAGAAGCCAAGCAUGCCAGGAUCUGCUCGACCACGAGAAGGCGAGCAGACUCCAAAGCAUUCGAAAAAAUUCCUAAGGCAUGCAAAGGCUCACCAAGUCUUAAAGCCUGUUUUAUGGCGAGACAGAAGCCAAGCGUGCCAGGAUCUGCUCGACCACGAGAAGGCGAGCAGACUCCGAAGCAUUCGAAAAAAAUUCCUAAGGCAUGCAAAGGCUCACCAAGUCUCAAAGCCUGUUUUAUGGCGAGACAGAAGCCAAGCGUGCCAGGAUCUGCUCGACAACUAGAAGGCGAGCAGACUCCGAAGCAUUUGAAAAAAUUCCUAAGGCAUGCAAAGGCUCACCAAGUCUCAAAGCCUGUUUUAUGGCGAGACCAGGAGCCAAGCAUGUUAGGGUCUGCUCGACCACGCGAAGGCGAGCAGAAUCCCAAGCAUUGAAGAAUUUUCAAAGGCAUGUGGCAAAACCAUGUGCCAAGCCAGAACCUGCUCGACCAGACAAAGACGAGCCGAUUCUCAAACGAAAAAUAACUCAUGAUUACAACACAAGAAAGUAAUCAAAAACAUUUUUAUUAAUUUGUUAAUAAUUAACAGAGGAGAUAAUCUUCACAAACAUUGUUCAUUACAAUACAAGAAACAUAUUUAAGAAGAUGGUGGGUCCGCAAGCCGAGCAUCCUCAGUUAGCUGGUCCACCUCAGGUGCUGGGGGAGUAUCUCCAGUUGCGUCUGGGGGGGUACUCGCCUCACCAGCAUCAGCAGGGAUUACACGGGGAGGAGAGUUUUCUUCUUCUAUCAGCAUUGGUGCCACCUCUUCGGCAUCCUCCUUUGCAGCCUCCUCGUCCAUAUGUUGGGCGACACCAGCUGCAAGGUCGUCCAUCUUUAGAUCAGGAUGCUGCUUCCCGAGGACGGCCAUGAUGCAACGAUAAGAAUGCCGAAGUCCCUGGUCGUACUGGUUGUCGGCCUCCUUCUCCAAGUUCUCGACCUGAGCUCGGUGGGAAUCGCGGAGGGAUUCGAGCUGAGCCUCAUACAUAGCGUUCUGCCUUUGAAGAUCCUCCUUGACCUUGGCCAGCUCUUCCUCGAGAGUAAUAGCCUUGGCUUGAGCAAGAGAUUCUCGCUCAAUCAACUUCAGAUUCUCGAGGUUUAAGUCCCCUGCUUUCUUCUCAGCAACGUCAGCUCUGGUCGUCGCCGACUGAAUGUCCUCCUUCAUCUUCCUGUCAUAACGGCCAACCUUGGCCUUAUAGUAGGUGGUCAUGCAGCUGAGAUGGAAAGCGCUAUACUGCAUGGCCCUCACCAGCUCGCCUAAGGUGCAGCCAUCAAAGUCCUCGAGGUCCUUCUUGCUCACGAUUUUGGAAAGCUCGUUGAGAUAGGGGGCCAAGUGUUCUGCUCGGCUGUCAGGUAAACGAGAUCUAUGCCCGACAGGAGGCGAAGAGGAAGCAGGAUCAGUGGCUGCUCCACUGGUCUCGCCGAGUUUGGCAGAAGGAGGAGGUAAAGUCUUCAAGGGAGAGACCUGCUGCACGAUGUUAGCCCGCUUUGCAGUAGGGGCAUCCUUGUUCUGGUCCCUCUUCGUGGUUUGGGGUCGAGAACGUUUCCUGUUUAGAGCCCCAAUCACGGCGUCCUCCAUCUUAUGACCAGGGAGUAUUAAGCGAGACUCGAGCAAGUUGUAUGUAGUUAUCAGCUCCCGGCUCGAGCAGGAAUUGGCUAGCACAGCCUCGACCCGUUUGAGCUGGCCAGGUUUGAGCGAGAAAUGAACACCCCAAGAAACUACAACACAAACAGACACUUGGUUAGAGACAAACCAACAAAGCGAGAACAAUUACGGAUACAAGACAUCUAAAGCGAGCAGGCAACCUGGGACCGUGAAACGGGGUGGGACGCGAUAAUCCUUCCCGUCUAUUUGUGCAACUUGACCCCAAGGACCCCCAGCAAAAAAGAAUUUCCUCUUCCAAUUCCCACCACCACCAGUAGGGAGGUCGGUUAUGGGUUUCCUGAUCUUGGUACUAGAUUGAAAGUAGUACCAGCCGGCAUCUUUGGGGCUGCUCUUUAGCUGGUACAGGUGCUUCACCUCAUCAACUGUGGGCUCGCUUUGGCAACAUCUGUCCCACAAUAUGAACAGACCAGAAAGUACUCUCCAACCAUUUGGGUUCAGCUGACCAGGAGAUAGAUUCAGCCCGUUAAGUAUCCGGGCAAAGUAAGGUUGCACGGGACACCUCAGCCCAUACUUAAAACUAUCCAGAUACAGGGUAACGUAUCCCCUAGGAGGCCGGCUAGGAGUAUCCUUCUUUCCUGGGACCUUAAGAGGGAUUUCACCAGGAAUACUAUACCUAAGCCGGAGGUCAUUGAGCUCAUCAAACGUGGUUAUGCAUGUCAUGUAAUCAAUAGCGUAAUCCCGCGAUAGGGCUCUACCUCCUAUUGUACUCCGCCCUUCUGGUCGCGACGCUCCUGAUGGGGACACCUCGCCAGAAUCAUCUCCUCGGCCCUCACUCAGGGUGUUCUCCGAGCCAGAAGACCCCUCUUCAUCACUAUCUCUGCUCGAGGAGGUCGUUUGCGGAGACAUCCUCCUAGCGCUAGUGCCGACACUAGAUCUAAUGGGCUCUAAGGGGAUCCCGGGGUCAAAAGCAGGAUCAGUGAGCAGACUAGGCAGGAAGUCCAACUCAUCGUCGUCAACCUCAAUGACCUUCUCUUUACCUUUCGACAUUCCCUAAACUCUAACCACAACACCACCACCAACUACUACCCGAACAAAAGAGAACAAAAAUUAUCUACAACUAUCCGAGACCAAGGAGAUAGAAGAAAUACCUGAAGUAAUGGUUCAGUCGGUGAAAGACAGAGAUGGAGGCCUUUAUGCCGGAACUUCUUUGCCGGAGAGACAGGGACGGAGACAGAGGGAAUGAUGAAUUUGCUGUUUGAAAGGAUUUAGGUUUCCUAAUGGGGACGGCCUCUUGGGUUGCCAGCAUUUAACGGCACCAAAUCCCAAGGGCCUCGUAACCGUUGGUUUGAAAUUCGAAUAGAGGGGCAGAUUUCUGCCACAUCACCUCGUCCACAAUUAAAUGCGAUAUGACUCUUGGCAGCCUUUUCCAGUCCCACGCGACCAAGAACCGCUAAGUUUCUACUGCUGGUCCAUUACAUUACCCAACACCAGAAACUGGGGGACCGGUGUUUGAGGGAAAUACUCUGACGAGACCAGACGUGAUGAGCAGAUGUUUGGUGGUAGAAGUCUGCGAGCAGGUGUGUCCUGUAAGAGCCAGGUAGCAGGGGAACAGGGGCAAGAAUAUCCUGCUCAUCCACGAGCACGUCAUCCGCGAGGCCAAUUUCCUGUAAGAAGCAUAAAGCCAUUCCUGCUGUAUUCUUGCUAAGGGUUGAUUCGAGGAGACCCGGUCAACGACAGUUGGCGAGGCAUGCUCUCCAGCCCGAGAAUCUAGGCACGAAGGCCACGCAACCACCCACGACUACGGAAAUGGGGAAUCCACGUUCGAGAGGUGGGAGGAUAACGGACGUAGACUGCGAAAAACUGGGAUUCAGAGGAAGCCUAUAAAAAGGUAGCCAACGAAGGUAAAAGGGUUAACAAUUUUGAGAUUAGAAGGGAGAUAAAGAAAUUCUAAAGAAGAGAAAACUACCCAAAAGCCAUAAGAUCUGUGGCAAGCGUUCCCCGAACCUUCAUAUCUGACUUGAGCGUCGGAGGGUUUGCGCCGGGAAAACAACCGGCGUACUCUGACUUGUCUGUGUGCGCAGGAACCUCUGGAGAAGAAGCUUUACGAGGAGAGAUCCUGGUCGUGGUGAAGUUGAUCGAGCAGAGACCCUGGUCGUAGAACGAGGAGAACCAGAAUCUCGCAUCAACAAAACGUAUAUUUCAACCUGAGUACUAGCGAUUACCAGCGACUGAUUAACACUUGUUUUAAUUGUAUUCAGCAGUCAUAAAAAUUUACUUUUUCUUGUAAUAUAUUUAUACCACUUGUAAUAUAUUUAUACCACACAUUUUGACUACCACAAACUUAAGUUGCUUGGCUGACGUAUUUACCACAAAUAAAAACUAACAUUCGAGGUUUUUCUUUCGACAUUUCUAUAGAUGUUUUAACAUUUUAGAUUACAAUAUUUUUCAAAACUUGAUUUAGUCACUGAUUGUUGACUACGACGACGACAAAAAAUCUAUUUCGUUGUGAAAAGGAAUCCACAAGAGUACAAGACGGAGCCUUGAUCCAGUAAUAUUACGGAAAAUGGUAUUUUGUUUCCUUACAAAUGAAGAGAGGUUCUGUCUUUGCAGUGGGUAAGGUGAGGGUAUAGAACAUAUUAAUGGCUUUACUUAUCAUCAUCAACUUCCUUCUGUGUCUCUCAAUCUUUGUCUUCUUCUUUGUUUUGCAAAGGAACAUAACCUCAAGAAAUAAUACUAAAUUACCACCAGGCCUCCGGGGCCUUCCUUUCAUCGGUAACGUGCACCAGCUUGAUGUCUCAAAGCCUCACGUGUUAUUUUGGGAACUGUCAAAAAAAUAUGGCCCCCUCAUGUCCUUGCGUCUUGGGUUUUCGCCAUCCUUAGUAGUUUCCUCGGCGAAAAUGGCUAAAGAGAUAUUACAAACCCAUGACCUUCAAUUUUGCAGCAGGCCAGCCUUGGUAGCACAACAAAAGUUAUCUUACAAUGGUCUUGAUUUAGCGUUUUCACCCUAUGAUGAAUAGUGGAGAGAGAUAAGAAAAAUUUGUGUCAUUCAUCUCUUUAACUCUAAUAGGGUACAAAAUUUUCGACCCAUUAGAGAAGAUGAAGUUUCAAGAAUGAUUGAAAAGAUUUCAAAAUCAGUUGGUGCUUCUAAUCCCGUAAACUUAAGUGAGGUAAUGAUGUCUCUUACCAGCACCAUUAUUUGUAGAAUUGGUUUUGGCAAGAGGUACGAUGAAGAUAAAGCAACAAGUGGAAGAAGUAGAUUCCAUGCCCUGCUUAAUGAAACUCAAGCCUUGUUUGUAAGCUUUUUUGUUACAGAUUAUUUUCCUUUCAUGGACUGGAUUGAUAACCUCAGAGGAAUGAUGAAACGCCUGCAAAAUAACUUCCAAGAACUCGAUGGAUUCUACCGGGAACUCAUCGACGAGCAUUUGGAUCCAAACAGAAC